AAGAUCUCAUUUCUCAAAUCAUCUCAGGCUCAUAAGCCAAAUUUACUCAAAGUGAGUUCCCUUUUUAAAACAAAGCCACUCUUGGCAUUCUCUUUCCAAAACUUCCAAAACCAUGGAAAGUUAAAGAUUCAUUUUGGGAACAUUCAAAAUCACCCAUCCCACAAUGGGAUUUUAUAACAAAGUUUCUCGACAGAGUCCCAAGUCUUUAGGGGAGAAUAGCAUAACUCAUUUCGCCGAAUUCAUUUAAAAUCAU
rnacentral:lncRNA from 1 species